rnacentral:rRNA from 1 species
UACAGAGACUGCAAGCGUUCUUCGGAUUCACUGGGCGUAAAGGGUGCGCAGGCGGCCGUGUGUGUGAGGCGUGAAAGCCCGGGGCUUAACCCCGGAAUUGCACCUCAAACUACACGGCUAGAGCAUUGGAGAGGGUAGCAGAAUUCACGGUGUAGCAGUGAAAUGCGUAGAUAUCGUGAGGAAUACCAGAGGCGAAGGCGGCUACCUGGACAAUUGCUGACGCUCAGGCACGAAAGCGUGGGGAGCAAAAGGG